GUUUCAGCCUGUGCUUCUGUGGCGGGGCAAGCCAGCAGAAAAUAUGGAGUGUCGUGCCGUGAUUGGCUCAGUGUUCUGUCACUCAUGGGGACACGAUGUCACUGCCAAGUCUAAGUAUAGACCUUAAAUUCAAGCCCCUUGGGUGCUGCCAUAGAGUUGCAUUAGAAGUGCCCAUCCAAGAAGGCUCAAGGUCAUUGGCCACAGAUAGAAAUCACGUCAAAUAACGUUAUAUGUACAGUAGCUUUGAUUAGCCUGAGUGUCAACAUCAUACUUUCAAAAUCUUAGCUAGCAGUCAUCAUCAUGAAUCAAGUCGACAAUCUACUGGCAAAUCCUUUUGAAUCCUUGUCAAAUGAAGAGAAGUAAUGAAGAGAAAUUAUAGAUAAAAUGUAUCUGUGCUCAUCAGCCAUUGGACAUAAACAUUACACAACAAGUUGGAAAUUGCAAAGUCAACAAUGAGUGGUUUGGAAUUAAUCAGUGGCUAACUGCAAGCAUUGCAAAGCAAUCAUUGGCUUGUUAUUCAGUGGAGUGUCUGUGUGGUACAAAGUCUAAGAUUAAGGGUAUCUUUUCCUAGUUUAAAAUGAUAAACAUUCAACGAAGCAUGAUUUGUGCUGCUCUCAAAACAGCUAUUAACUCAGAACUGCAAACUCUGAUUUUAGUGAGUUCAAGACAACUGGGAACUUUCAACCAAUUCAGAAUUGUAAAUCCAGAACUCGAGCCUCUUUCUAGAGCUACAACCUGAAGAUCACUGACGUCAUUAUGAAUCAACUUUUCCGAGUUCCCAGUCGUAUUAAAAGCACCAUAAAUCCAGAGAAAGGGCAGAUUUAAUGACAAAGUUUUUGAUGACAAAAUUUGCCCACGAAGAACCGCCGCGCCACCUUCCUGUCCAAGUGAGCACGGCACAACAAGGUGAGUCCAAAAAUGUCUUGUAUGCUGCUGCAUUAAUGAUGUAUUAUGCCAGAGAGAUGUGUAUACUGUAGCUAAAAAAGUAAUACUAAGUGUAUGUUGUGUAGUAAGCUGUUAGUUGCCCAUGUGCCUUACCCUAAUAAUUUGGUCUAUUUUCACCUCUGUUCUGACUUGGUGAUGCUUACCUGUUUUUUUCAGCAAUCUGUUUUUGAGAAAUGUAAUCAUCAAAUGUUGGAAGAGCUUUCAUUGUCUGCUUACAUGCCCCCUUUAUUUAUCCUGCGGUUCUGACUUGGUGUACAGGGAGAACACUGUAAGAAUGGCCCAUGUUCUGAAUUCUGUCGCUGUACAUUUCAAAAGUGCUGAGCAAAUAGUUAUAUUGACUACUGUACGGCCGUCCUAGCUCGCUCAUUAAUGUCUUAAUUGAAAUUACGGAUUGCCUCGUAUCCGCUUGUCGUCCCCUUAUGCCAUAGUUUGUACAUCUCAAUUGUCAGUAGAAACCACAUUUGUCGAAGCAAGUCAGCCAUAUCAGCACAUUUUUUUAAAGACAGUAAAUGAGGCUGAAUGAACUGUUUCACUGCCAGACAAGGCUCCGCUGAUAGUCAGGUGUAGCAGUGGUAAGGUGUUGGGACUGCUGUUGGGUCAGCUGAUAGCCAGGUGUAGCAGUGGUAAGGUGUUGGGACUGCUGUUGGGUCAGCUGAUAGCCAGGUGUAGCAGUGGUAAGGUGUUGGGACUUCUGUUGGGUCAGCUGAUAGCCAGGUGUAGCAGUGGUAAGGUGUUGGGACUGCUGUUGGGUCAGCUGAUAGCCAGGUGUAGCAGUGGUAUGGUGUUGGGACUGCUGUUGGCUCUGCUGAUAGCCAGGUGUAGCAGUGGUAAGGUGUUGGGACUGCUGUUGGGUCAGCUGAUAGCCAGGUGUAGCAGUGGCAAGGUGUUGGGACUGCUGUUGGCUCCGCUGAUAGCCAGGUGUAGCAGUGGUAAGGUGUUGGGACUGCUGUUG